UACGGGGGGAGCAAGCGUUGGUUCGGAUUUACUGGGCGUAAAGGGCGCGUAGGCGGACGUGACAAGUCACUUGUGAAAUCUCCGGGCUUAACUCGGAACGGUCAAGUGAUACUGUCGUGCUAGAGUACAGAAUGGGCAACUGGAAUUCUCGGUGUAGCGGUGAAAUGCGUAGAUAUCGAGAGGAACACCUGCGGCGAAGGCGGGUUGCUGGGCUGAUACUGACGCUGAGGCGCGAAAGCUAGGGGAGCGAAACGGG
rnacentral:rRNA from 1 species